AGUGAACGCUGGCGGUAGGCCUAACACAUGCAAGUCGAACGGCAGCACAGUAAGAGCUUGCUCUUACGGGUGGCGAGUGGCGGACGGGUGAGGAAUACAUCGGAAUCUACUUUUUCGUGGGGGAUAAUGUAGGGAAACUUACGCUAAUACCGCAUACGACCUACGGGUGAAGGCAGGGGAUCUUCGGACCUUGCGCGAUUGAAUGAGCCGAUGUCGGAUUAGCUAGUUGGCGGGGUAAAGGCCCACCAAGGCGACGAUCCGUAGCUGGUCUGAGAGGAUGAUCAGCCACACUGGAACUGAGACACGGUCCAGACUCCUACGGGAGGCGGCAGUGGGGAAUAUUGGACAAUGGGCGCAAGCCUGAUCCAGCCAUACCGCGUGGGUGAAGAAGGCCUUCGGGUUGUAAAGCCCUUUUGUUGGGAAAGAAAAGCAGCAGGUUAAUACCCCGCUGUUCUGACGGUACCCAAAGAAUAAGCACCGGCUAACUUCGU
rnacentral:rRNA from 1 species